rnacentral:rRNA from 1 species
GUGGUAAUGCCGGAUGCUCCAUCACACCGCAUGGUGUGUUGGGAAAGCCUUUGCGGCAUGGGAUGGGGUCGCGUCCUAUCAGCUUGAUGGCGGGGUAACGGCCCACCAUGGCUUCGACGGGUAGCCGGCCUGAGAGGGCGACCGGCCACAUUGGGACUGAGAUACGGCCCAGACUCCUACGGGAGGCAGCAGUGGGGAAUAUUGCACAAUGGGCGCAAGCCUGAUGCAGCGACGCCGCGUGAGGGAUGGAGGCCUUCGGGUUGUAAACCUCUUUUGUUAGGGAGCAAGGCACUUUGUGUUGAGUGUACCUUUCGAAUAAGCACCGGCUAACUACGUGCCAGCAGCCGCGGUAAUACGUAGGGUGCAAGCGUUAUCCGGAAUUAUUGGGCGUAAAGGGCUCGUAGGCGGUUCGUCGCGUCCGGUGUGAAAGUCCAUCGCUUAACGGUGGAUCCGCGCCGGGUACGGGCGGGCUUGAGUGCGGUAGGGGAGACUGGAAUUCCCGGUGUAACGGUGGAAUGUGUAGAUAU